rnacentral:rRNA from 1 species
AUUGAACGCUGGCGGCAGGCCUAACACAUGCAAGUCGAACGAGUGGCGGACUGGUGAGUAAUGUCUGGGAAACUGCCUGAUGGAGGGGGCUAACUACUGGAAACUGUAGCUAAUACCGCAUACCAUCAGAUGUGCCCAGAUGGGAUUAGCUUGUAGGUGGGGUAAUGGCUCACCUGGGCGACGAUCCCUAGCUGGUCUGAGAGGAUGACCAGCCACACUGGAAAGGAGACACGGUCCAGACUCCUACGGGAGGCAGCAGUGGGGAAGAUUGCACAAUGGGCGAAAGCCUGAUGCAGCAAUGCCGCGUGGGUGAAGAAGGCCUUCGGGUUGUAAAGUACUUUCAGCGAGGAGGCGUUACUCGCAGAAGAAGCACCGGCUAACUCCGUGCCAGCAGCCGCGGUAAUAC